rnacentral:rRNA from 1 species
UACGAAGGGGGGCUAGCGUUGUUCGGAAUCACUGGGCGUAAAGCGCACGUAGGCGGAUUGUUAAGUCAGAGGUGAAAUGCCAAGGCUCAACCUUGGAACUGCCUUUGAUACUGGCAAUCUCGAGUUCGGGAGAGGUGAGUGGAACUGCGAGUGUAGAGGUGAAAUUCGUAGAUAUUCGCAAGAACACCAGUGGCGAAGGCGGCUCACUGGCCCGAUACUGACGCUGAGGCACGAAAGCGUGGGGAGCAAACAGG